UACGGAGGAUCCAAGCGUUAUCCGGAUUCAUUGGGUUUAAAGGGUGCGUAGGCGGAAUGAUAAGUCAGCGGUGAAAUCCCUCGGCUUAACCGAGGAACUGCCGUUGAUACUGUCAAUCUUGAGUACAUUUGAUGUGGGCGGAAUGUGUCAUGUAGCGGUGAAAUGCUUAGAUAUGACACAGAACACCGAUUGCGAAGGCAGCUCACAAAACUGUAACUGACGCUGAGGCACGAAAAGCGUGGGUAUCAAACAGG
rnacentral:rRNA from 1 species